rnacentral:rRNA from 1 species
CUCGACAACGGAUAUCUUCGCUCUUGCAUCGAUGAAGAACGUAGUGAAAUGUAAUACUUGGUGUGAAUUGCAUAAUCCCACGAACCAUCAAUUUUUUGAACACAAGUUGUGCCCAAAGCCUUCUAGCCAAGGGCACGUCUUCCUGGGCAUCACG